rnacentral:lncRNA from 1 species
GUUUUAUCCAGAUUCUGGUUCCUGGACAGCCAAACAGUGUUGGGCAUAGGAUUCUUCUAAUAUUUUGGCCUCAAGUUAGACCAGUCAUUGGCUGGCCACUCCCACAAGUUCUAUGUCACAAUUGUCCCAGUAUAUCUUGUAGGCAGGACAAAGUAUACAUAGGUCAAAAGUUAUGUCACUGGGUUGGUUUUCAAGUCUCUCCAAUGGAAGAUUUGCCUGAUUACGGAAGAUGGUCAGUUCAGGUUCUGUAUCCCCCAUUACUAGGAGUCCCUGCUAGAUCAACCUAGCAGAUUCCAGGGAAUUUCCAUUGUACUAGUCCCACCAUCCUUUCUGUAAAUUACAUUCUGCUCUGUUCUUUGGAUUUGAUGCUUUCCCAUGCAGCACACAGCUGAGAACACUCAGUAUUUGAGUUUUGUGCCUACUUUACUUCUGUUAACAAAAUUGCCUGGUUCUGUUCAUUUUGCUAUACAUGACAAUACUUCUCUCUUGAUGACUGAGAAAGUACCUCUUUGUGUAAAUAUUCUGUCACUGUAAUAAAUGUUUGCUGUGUAUUGUUAUGGUUUGGAGAUACAGGAUUUUCUGAAGAGCUCAUGUUCUAGAGGCUUGAUAGUCAGUGGAUGAAUUCAGAAAGUGACUGCAUCAUAAGGACUCUAAUUGUAUCAGUGGGUUAGUGUAUUUAUGGAGUCACAUGUUAAUGACAUUAUUCAAAAGUGGUGGAGACUAGGUAUUUUCUUGGAGGAAGCAGUUCACUAUGGGCAUGCCCUGUAAGGGUUUGUCUUAUCUCUGUUUCUUUGUGUUAAGGUUUGAUAUCUUGCUAGAAUUGUAAUGCAAGUGUGGGCCCCCAAGACCUGGUUGCCCCAGAGAGGACAGAGUGUGCCCAUAGACCCAAGUGAGAAGUGAGGCUAUGUGAUCUUGCUCCCAUUUCUGAUUUGUAAAUAAAGAUGCCUGCAGCCUAUAGCUGAGCAGAAUUGAGAUAUGUGGUGCUUGGUGUUCCCAGUCUGGAGGAUGGAGGAAACCACAAGAAGAGGAAGAAGAGAGAAGAAAGACUCCAUGAGUUAGGAGUUGAGAAACAUGGCUCUGAGAGCUGGCAAACUGGAGUUAAGAGCAGUCUGAAUGAAAAAUAGUAAAUAAUAACUUGGGGUUAUUGAUAGGAAAGUAGAUUCUAAUAGCACAGAGAGUAGAUGCCUAGCUCUUGUGCUGAUUAAGACUUAUUAUAAAUAUAAUGGUGAAUGUCUUUUAUCUAGGAACUAAAUGGUGAAAGUGGGAUAGAAACCCUGGAUUGGGAUUAAAUUUAUUCUACAACACUUUUCAUUCUUUCCUUGCUUUGUGGUCACCAUGAUGUGAGCAGUGCUUUCCACAGUGACAAUACAGCCUCUUUACAGGAUUAAUGCAAAGGUAUGUGUACUAGCAUAUGCAUUAACUCACAUACAAGAAUGAGUGCAAAGGUAUGUGUACUAGCAGAUGCAUUAACUCACACACAAGAAGGAAUGAGUGCAAAGGUAUGUGUAUUAGCAUAUGCAUCAACUCACAUACAAGAAUGAGUACAAAGGUAUGUGUACUAUGCAUUAACUCACACACAAGAAGGAAUGAGUGCAAAGGUAUGUGUACUAGCAGAUGCAUUAACUCACACACAAGAAUGAGUGCAAAGGUAUGUGUACUAGCAGAUGCAUUAACUCACACACAAGAAGGAAUGAGUGCAAAGGUAUGUGUACUAGCAGAUGCAUUAACUCACACACAAGAAAGAAUGAGUGCAAAGGUAUGUGUACUAGCAUAUGCAUUAACUCACACACAAGAAGGAAUGAGUGCAAAGGUAUGUACUAGCAUAUACAUCAACUCACACACAAGAAUGAGUGCAAAGGUAUGUGUACUAAGUGCAUAUGCAUCAACUUACACACAAGAAGCUUUUGUUACAGCAAAACAUUUAGCCAGGAUCCAAAUAGAGAAAAGAGGGCUCUGAAGUUCCACUCCGUUCUGAUUCACUUAAAAACUCAGUUAUCUAAGAUUUCCCUAUGUGGUACCUCCUGAAUUGGUUCUACUAAACCAGUUCUCAAUUAUGCUCUGGACUAGGGGUACAGUCUUUAAUGCAGAGACCUAUGUGGAAGAUUUAGCCAAAUGUGGCUGUUUACAGGCCUCUUUUCUUUAUCCACUCAGAUACUCUUUAUUUUUGCUGCUUUUCAAACUACAAGGAAGUACUAAUUUUACAUUUUGAGUAGGGCUCCAUAUGUAUAGUAUUAGACUUUUAUAUAUUAUAAAAGCUUUUUAAAAGGAUGAAUAUGCAUGUAUUAAGUGUAUGUUUGUGAGCUUGUGCACACACAUUCAUGCAUGUAGUUCUUAGAGACACAGAAUUUGCCUUCUGAUCUUGACUGGAAAUCUUGUUGUUUUUCAAACUCUAAGCGAGAGAUAAUAAUAUCUUCCUGAUAGACUUAUUGCUAGUCUUAAAUAACAUAAGACAUGUAGAGUGCUUGGCAAGGUGCCUGGCAUAUAAAACGUCUCAGUAAACAUCAUGAAACACAUUCCUGUGAAAUAGAGUCACUUACUCUAGUCCUGCAGAGUAGCAGAAAACGAAAGCAUAAAGAAAUAAAAAUCGCGUCCAGUUCUGAAAGCUGCAUUUGUGGUGGUUAAUUUUGUGCAGGUACAUAAAGCAUAGGAUAGAGAUGAGUUCUUGCUUUGUCCUCUUAGUGAAUGAAAAAAUAUUCCUUUUGACAAUUGUAGAGUGUUAUCCCCUGAGUACUGCAGGAUGUCUUGACCAGAGCAGAUGUGACUGUAAGAACUCCCAAGACCGUGUCUAUGGACUGUUCAUGUUGCCUCAUAAAAUGAGGGGUGGAGAGAGUUAUUAACCUCUACCCGAAUGUCCAGGUGGUCCCUUCUACAACUCUCAGCAGCCUGUAUGUGAUUGUGCACUAAGAGCACAUGAUAGCCAUAUGGUCUCGGGGGUACCAGAAUAUAUGGAAGAUAGAAGGUGACCUGAAGUGGGGAAGCCAUCAGCUGUGACAAAGUCAUCACCACACAUUCUAGGGUAAGGCUUUUCCAUGAUGUGGUCAGUAAGUCCUUAACCUGUGUACUGGAGACAAUUGCUCAGUAAACUCAUGACUCUAUUGAGAUGUUCCUCAGUGAAAUUGUGCUUUGUGGAGAGCGGAGUAAGCCCUGAAUGAAGGGAAUGAACGAAGUACUGACUGAACAUGCUUCAUCGACGUGAGCACAGCCAUGUCAACUGCCCCAAUGUCUUAGACCCAUGGAACAUGAAAGCCUUACCAAGGUCAGGUUCAGGGAUUGGAAAAGCUUUCCUCUCUUGUCUGCUUAUGAAGAUAUGCAGUGCAUACAGAAAGCAUCAACCACAGUUUCCUCUUCAGAAUGGGUGUGGCCAGAGGCUACAGACACCUACCAAGUUUAGGUAAGCCUGACUCCUCCUUCAACUGCAUACAAGAAACUCUCCUCAAUUCAGAUUUAUAAAUAAAUAACAGCAGUGGGUGUUCUCCACCAGAAAGGAGGCAGCUUAUCUAGUGCCAGUGUUUCUUUACACAUGUUGGGGGUGUCUCUCCUUUCUUCACCACUUCUUGUUCUGGUUAGAUCAGUCCCUAAGGUUGUACACAGCCUGGCAUAUGGAACCUGACAAAGUGGGAAUCUAGGCACUCUGAAAUUUCUUCUACAGGUCAUUUUGCCUCCUGGGAUUUUUGCAUAUCUCUGGAAUUAUUGCAGUGUGCGUCAGAUUCUGUUCCAGUUUUGUGUUCUGACUGUAGACCAGUUAUAGGCUUGGUUGGGGAUGGAUAAGUUUGCUUCUACUCACUCACCUCGCGUCAUACCUCAGUCUUCACACACAAUGCUUGACAUUAGAGAAAAGGUGAUCUGAGAUAUUCUGUGUGAUUUAAAAAAAAAAAGGAUUUCAAACCUUCAUCCAUGUAAAUUACCAUGUCUCCCAGCUUAGCCACAUUUAGCUAGAUUUCUUUGAUGUGAUGCCUCCAGAGAUUAGGGAUUUGAGGAAAGAUUUCACCCUUAUAUUUUAAUGUUCAUUGUACACUGCUCAUAUGUACAUUGUAUAUUGAGCUUCCAGAGUGCAUCUUUGUGUGUGCAUCUGUCUCUCUUUAUUAUUUUUCUAUCUCUGGUUGAGCAAUACUUUCAUAGAUGCAUUGCUCGUCAAUUCUUCCUUGUCACUGUGGAUGACAUCCCUCUUCUCCAGCAUUAACUUCUUACUUAGUGAUGGUCGUUGAUAUGAGGAGCCAUACAGCUGCAUACAGGUGGUGUAGGAUGUCUUUACUUCUCUCAACGUACAAUUAUCACUGUGUUUGCUUUAUAGCUGGCAGUGAGCCUGCCUCUCUUAGCAACUAAGUUGUCUUAAUCACACAGAUGCAAUGUCUAUAGUGUCUGUGUAGCAGUAUUUCACAUUUACUGUGUCUGGGGCUUGAGGAAGAAAUGACACUUUACAGCAACAGGAAAUGAGUUCUGCAGAACUGGCAGGAACUCAGCAUUGUAGAAGAAAACCAAACGCAACAACUACUGAGAAUUCAGAUGCAAGAAGAAGAGAAAUUUAUCUGCUGAAAUAGCUGAACUAAGAAAAGAACCUUUAAGGGGGUAAAAGGAAAAUGGAGAAAUAAUAAGACGAAUGCAUCUUCUGAACAUGUCUUCCUUAGGGCAGCAAGAGUAGAACAGGAGGACAAUCAGAGUUCUACGUUCCAUUUUUUUUAAAGACUUCAUUUUUCCCAGAACAACCUUUUUUCCUUUAUAACACUAUGUUCAAAACAUAACUUUUGCUCUUAAUAUUUUUAUAUAUGUAGCAAGUGUCCUCAGAGAUGUGAGAGCACAGAUGUUAUUGAUCUUGAGAGCAUCUUCCGAAGCCUACAGGUUUAAUGCCUUAGUGCACGGAUGCUGCAGAGGGCUGUACAUGACCUGAAGGACUAAGUAUCCAUCCAAUGUCCCCUCACCUUGAGUCAAAAUAAUGCCCGGCUGCUUAAGCAGCUAUCUUUGCCAGUUUGGUUGAUUUUCUGAAUGAUGACAGACAUUUAUUUUUAUCUGGUCUUACUUAAUUUUUGCUGAAGAAUUAGUUUGUACAAAGUUUGCCUAAACAAGCUCCACUUCCUGAAGCUAUGAUUACACAUCAAUAUAUCUCCAGUGUGAUGAUCUUGAAGGGAUUCAUGACAAGAUUCAUAGGGAGAAGGAAAAUCGUCAAGAAAAACGCCAGACCUUCUGAGAAUUACAGACUACUUAGAAGGAGGUCCCUAGCACCUUGCAGUAGAUGUGUAGAACCAAGAAAUGACAGAACUACAGACUGUCUAUAGUGUGCUUAAAUUCAUUCUGAGAACAGGGAGUGUAAAAGAAGGAGGGAGGUGGUGGAAAAAAAUCUUUUGAAAGACAGUGAGAAAGGAUUUGGGGGCAUGAGCUGUAUUCUUCAUUCUAUGCAGUGUAAGACUCUUAAAAAAGAACAAAAAGUUUAAAAGGAAGUUUCCUCUCUGAUAACAGCAAAUAAUUAUUCUGGAAAACUGGGGUUUACAGCUUGCAGUGUUAUAAAAAUCAAAAUAAAAUCUGAGGUGCCACAAAGUUUAACUGAUAGAAAUUUGAGAAUUCUCAGUUGGUGGGAACUGCACUGUGAGGAUGAAUGUCAGCACAGAGCAGCGGCAGAGCACUGAAGGGUGAUUACAGCAGGGUAGGGAACUGGAUUUAGAGCCUGAAUAUUCAGGUUGGGAUGAAAGCCUUACCAAUUUCAAACUCUAUAUUCACUUUAGAAAAGCUAAUUAGUAUAUUAGAGUCUUAGUUUCACCCAGCAUACAUGCGAUGUCUAUCAUACCUUUCAAGGUUGACUGUCAACUCCAUUAGGAAUAAUGGCCACUUGACUUUGGCAACUUCUUUUUUCUUUCCUGCUGAUAUUAUAAUUCCUCCUGAAUUCAUGAUACACACUGCAAGCCACUGUGGUAAUUACUUCUUCACAUGUGCUCAACACCUCUUUUUCUGUUCUUCAAAUGCAUUUGGCAGACUCAGUAUUCCCACAACCCCCAGUCUCCACAUGCAUUGCACUCGCACUCAAGAAUCUGAAGAGAGCUGAAACAUGAAAAUCAGAGUGGCUUCACAACCAGCAUUGCUAAGGAGAUGUUGAGCACUCCAUGCUAAAAAUUUACCUGAAGGAGAAGUGUUGGAGCCCUGUAUCUUCCUUUAUCCUUCCUUGUUUUCUUCUUUCUCUGAUUCUGUUUCAUUUUCCUUAUCCCCUGUAUCUCUGUCUCUGUCUCUCUGUGUCUCUGUCUCUGUCUCUGUCUCUGUCUGUGUCUCUGUCUCUCUCUCUCUCUCUUUCUCUCUCUCUCUCUGUGUGUGUGCAUGUAUCUAUCUUUGUUCAUAUUAUUUAGUUGUUUGAGGAUAUCUAAGUUUUAUCUUAAAAUCUAUGAGUAAUUUUAAAAACAAUCUCACUUUGCUCUGAGUUCAUGCUUCUUAGCGUGAGAGGACCCCCCUCCCAUGGGAUGUAGACCUUCAGCUUUCUGUCACUGGAACAAGAUGUCUGAAAUAAUUUAAAAUAAUUAACUUCAAAAGAGGGGGAGUUUCUGUUGGCUCACAGUAUGGAAAUUUUUCUUAAUGGUGAGGUGGUUUAUGCUCUUCAGCCUGUGAGAUAUAUACAAAACAAUAUAUUCUGAUGGGACCAUGUGGGAGGUCUGUCCACCUUGGUGUAAUGAUUCAUUCCCAUAACCCGAGAACCUAGGAGAUAGUGGGAAUAACCAUGAUUUCAAGGCCAGGUGGGGUUAUAAGGCAAGCCCUGUUAUAAAUAAAUGCAUAUUGACACACGUAUAUAUUCUGAAUCAGUACUGAAGUCAUUUAAAAUUCAGCAAGUUAUACAUUGAUACUAAGGAGAAGGUUAUAUAAUAUAAUACAUGUUCCUCAAGCAAAGAAUGGCUACAGAAAGCAUGGUUAAUUUACACAGUGGAAUACUACUCAGCAAUUAAAAACAAGGGCAUCAUGAAUUCUGUAGACAAAUGGAUGGAACUAGAAAAUAUCUUGAGUGAGGUAACCCAGAUCCAAAAGGACAUGCAUGGUAUGUACUCACUGUUAAGCAGAUAUUAGCCAUAAAUAUAGAAUACCCAUGAUACAUCCCACAUAUCCAAAGAUGUUAAACAAGAAGGUGGGUUCAAUCAAGGAUGUUUGAAUCUCACUUAGAAGGGGAAACAAAAUAGUCAUGAGCAGAGAAGGGAGGGAGGAACCUGGGUAUAAAAAGAGAGGGAGAAGAGCAUGUGGGGACCUGAUCAGGUGUGGGGAGAGACAAGAGAGAAGCUGAGAGCAAGAGGAAAAGGAAUGGAAUUCUUCAGUUGCUGGUCAGUGUUACCAGGGCUGCAGAGAAUCUCUAGGAAGUCCUCAAUACCUGUGGUGAGAGAGGUUCCUAGGAAUUGAUGUGGGUGACCUUAGCUGAGAUGUCUAGGGAACUUGGAACCUGAAGAGGCCCCCCUCCUGUAGCCAGGCAGGAUUCCCAGUGGAUGGAUCAGAACACCAACUCACCAACAAAACUUUUGACCCCAAAUUUGUCCUGUCUAAAAGAAAUGCAGGGACAAAGAUGGGGCAGAGACUGAAUGGAUGUCCAACCAAUAACCAGCCCAAUGGAAACUCAUUCCAUGGACAAGCACACAAUUCCUGACUCUAUUAAUCAUCUCUGUUAUGCUUGUAGUCAGGAACCUAGCAUAACUGUCAUCUGAGUGGCUCUAUCCAGCAGCUGAUGAAAGCAGGUUCAGAUACUCACAGCCAAACAUUGGACAGACUUAAGGAUCCCAAUGGAAGAGUUGGGGGAAAGAUUGAAAGCUGUGAAGGGUAGAUAGGCUCUUCACAGGAAGAUAAAGAGAGUUAGCUAACCUUAACUUCUUGCAACUCUUAGAGACUGAGCCACCAACCAAAGAGCAUAUGUGGACUGGACUGAGGCCUCCAGCAUUUAGAUAGUAGACGUGCAGCUCAGUUUCCUAGUGAUGUCCCAACAACUAGAGUGGAGACUCUCCCCUAAAGCCUGACUGUGGUAUCUGUUCCCCAACAGGACUGGCUUAUCUGGCCUCAGUAGAAAAGGAUGCCCUUAAUCCUGUAGAUAUUUGAUGAAUUAGGAUGGGGGAAUACCCAAAGAGAGCCCCACCAUCUCAGAGAAGAAGGGGAGGGGGCAUGGAAGGAGGGACACUGUGAGGGGGGACCAGGAGAAGGGUAGCAUUUGGGACAUAAAUUGAUAAAUUAAAAAGAAAAGAAAAACAAGUGACAAGAAAUAGGAACCAUCCAUUUUAUAUAUAACACACAUCACAUCCUUCUUGCACAAGGUAAUGAUGAAAUUGAUGAGCUAUUAAUAGGAAAUGUGCUAGAAGCUUUAGAUUUUCAUCAAAAACACCAUGCUAACAACAGAUAUUUAAAGGAAAAGUUGUUUUUUUAAAGAUGUAUCACUUGGCAACAAGCCAAGAAAAUUGUAAGGGAAUGUUCUGCUUAUUCUAUAUAUAACUAAACUCCAUUACCUGCAGGAAAUAACCCUAAAAGUAUCCGAGGAAAUGAAAUUUGCCAAAUGGAUAUGUUUCAUUUUGUGGAGUUUGGUAAACUAAAACAUGUGUACCAUACUGUAGACAUAUAUUAAGGAUUUCGAUGGACAACUGCUUUAAGUUCUGAAAAGGCUGAUUCUGUAAUUAUACAUUUAUUAGAAGUUAUGGCAAUUAUGAAUUAUCUGUACAAAUUAAGACUGACAGUGCUCAGUAAAAUGAAGCAAAUUUUUACAUGUUAGAAUAUAAAGCACAUCGCAGAUAUACCACAAAUCCUACAGGAUGAGUAGUUGUGAAGAGAUCCAAUCAUACUUUAAAAGAGGUGCUAAACAGACAGAAAGGGUAACAAAGUCCCUAGUGCUUUGCUACCCAGAUUACAUAGUGUUUUAUUGAUUUUAAUUUCUUGAAUCCUGAUGAACAAAACCCAACUGCAGCUGAAAGAUAUUGGACUAUGGAGACAACUGCUGCACUAAAUCAGCCUGUUUAUAUUAAGAAUGCUCUAACCUAAGAAUAUGUUAAGCUGGAGAAGAUGUCUUGUAUAUGUUUAUACAUGAGAAAGGAUAUGAUGACAUGGGGAGACCUAGGGAGACUGUGGCUGCAGACUGGAAGAAAUCAGCAGAACUGACAAGACAGGUAAUGCAUAUGCUGAUUCCUCUACUUGGGAACAGCUCUGAGCCCAGCUGAGAUGUGAAAAUGUCCCCAUUCAGAGUUCAGCUAUUCAUGGCCAAUACAUGCCAUCCUUUCAUUAUGGCAUAGAUGGAGAUUUAUAUUGCAGUUUAGUUUUACAGCCCAAACUGGAAUAAGGAAGACAAGUGUCUUCCACAUGCUCAAAGAGCAAGACAUCACCUCUAACCAAUCACUGCACUUUGUUCUUUCCAUACAUAUGUUAUUGCAGAAAUGUGUAUCACUUGUCAGAGUUCAUAUGUUUACAAAACCUAAGGACCAGACACCAAGGAGGUGACCUGGACAAGAGUCACCCUUCAGGAUGCUGAAUUGUGAGAUAGAUUCAUCCUAGCAUCUAGCUUGAUCCAGUCUCAGACUGCCUCAGUUGUUGUUUCAUCAAAACUUGCUUCUUGGAGAGUUUCAAAGCAGCUAGCUCACCUGGUCUAUCCUUAGAGACUGUUCCAAUCAGAACUUCAUUUAAACCUUCAUUUUUUUUAUAGCAUUUAGAGAUGGGACAACAAAUGUUGCAGCUGGUUUUCUUAAUACUUGACUACGUCUCCAAUUUCUUUUACUCCACUCCCACCCCAAACAAACAAACAAACAAACAAACAAACAAACAAACAGCAACAACAAAACCAUGUCCAAAGUCAGCAGGAAGCAAUUUUAAGAAAAUGACACCCUAUCCUAGUAGGAGGGGUAGAUAGUUCUUUGGUCCCUCAGUAGAUUCUGGAUGUUCGUUGUUGCUUAAGGGGAUUGGUUGGAAGUGGUCAAUGGUCUGGAUUAGGAAGAAAACAAGGUAUAGUAGGUUAGAUGCAAGGAUUUCUCUCUCUUUAGAGUUGAAAAUAAGAACAAGGGAAUAUAAGCAUAAUAUAGGAACACUAGGAAUACAGGUAGACUAUCGAAUCUACUCUUAAACAAGAGAGCUACUACUAGUCAAAAAUCCUACAUUGAUAUAGAUCUUCGUAUAUUGAUACAAAACUAGUUAUAUCUGGUUACAACGUAUUAGGUAUAUAUUUCAACUCUUGUAUAAAGUAUUGUACCUAUGCAACUCAUUUAAAAAAUGCAAUGUUAGCUCUAGUCACUUAUAAACUGCUAUUACAAUCUGUCCAGGAUAAUUAAGAAAUGCAACUUAAUAAGUAGUCAAUCAAACUCAUGGUCAUGUCAGAUAUUAGUCUAGUUAUUCACAGAAAUAUGCCUUCUAAGUUGAACAGAUAGUAAAUAGAUAGAGACAAGCAAUGUUUGUCUCAAGCAAAAUCAGCUUUACAAAUGCCUCCAGAACUUUAAUCAUGAAGGUAUAUUGAAAUGUGUCAAAUGAAUUUUUGCAUUUAUUGAGAAGAUUACAUGAUAUCUGUUCUUAAAUUUAUUUAUGUGAUGUGUUAUAUUUAUUGGUUUGCAUAUGCUGAACCAACAUUGUACCGAUGUGAUGAAACCCACUCGGUUAUGAUAUGUGAUUUAUUUUGCAAAUUAUUAUUAUUUUUUAUUUACAUUUUAAACGUUAUCCCCUUUCCCGGUUUUCCCUCCAGAAACCUGAAUCUCAUCCCCCUCACCCUGCUUCUGUGAGAAUGCUAUGCCACCUAUCCACCCAUGCCCUCCCACCUCCCCGCACAGACAUUUCCAUACACUGGGGCUUCAAGCCUAAACAGGACCAAGGGCCUCUCCUCCCAUUGAUGCCCAACAAAGCCAUCCUCUGCUACAUAUGUGGAGCAAACUACAUGAAACUCAGAAAGAAGGAAGACCAAAUUGUGGAUGCUUCAGACCUUCUUUGAAGGGGAACAAAAAUAUUCAUAGGAGGAAAUAUGGAGAUGAAGUGUGGAUCAGAGACUGAAGGAAAGGCCACCCGGAGACUGCCAUAUGUCCAUCCUGUGUAGUCCCUGGGAGCUCCAGACGAUCUGGUUGUUUGAGGUUGUUGUUCUCCUUAUGCGGUUGCAAACCCCUUCAGCUACUUCAGUCCUUUCUCUAGCUCCUCCAUUGGGGACCCCAUUCUCCGUUCAAUGGUUGGCUGCAAGCAUCUGCCUCUCUAUUUGUCAUGCUCUGGCAGAGCCUCUCAGGAGACAGCUAUACCAGGCUCCUGUCAGCAUGCACUUCUUGGCAUCCACAAUACUGUCUGGGUUUGGUGUCUGUAUAUGAGAUGAAUCCUCAGGUAGGGCAGUCUCUGGGUGGCAUUUCCUUCAGUCUCUGUUCCACACUUCGUCUCCAUAUUUCCUCCUAUGAAUAUUUUUGUUCCCUUUCAAAGAAGGUCUGAAGCAUCCACAAUUUGGUUUUCCUUCUUUUUGAGUUUCAUGUAGUUUGUGAAUUGUAUCUUGGGUAGUCCAAGCCUUUGGACUAAUGUAUGCUUAUCAGUGAGUGCAUACCACGUGUUUGUGUGUGUGUGUGUGUGUGUGUGUGUGUGUGUGUGCGCACGCGUGUGCGCGUGUUUAUAUAAUUGGCUUACCUCACUAAGGAUGACAUUUUUUAAAAAUUUUUAUUAGAUAUAUUUCUUUACUUACAUUUCAAACUUUAUUCCCUUUCCUGGUUUCCUGUCCAUAAGCCCCAUUCCCUCCCAUCCCCCUCCCCCAUAUGAGUGUUAUCCCUAUACAUUCCCCUUAUUGCUCCCCACUAUAUAUUCCCCUGCACUGGGGGUCCAACCUUGGCAAGAUCAAGGGCGUCCUCUUCCCCUGGUGCCCCAAUAAGGCUAUUCUCUGCUACAUAUUCAGUUGGAGCCCUGGGUCAGUUCAUGUAUAGUCUUUCGGUAGUUUUUAGGCCCUGGAAGCUCUGGUUGGUUGGCGUUGUUGUUUUUAUCUGGUUUAAAGCUCCUUCAAUUCUUUCAAUACUUCCUCUAAUUACCCCCAAAUGGGGUCCUAAUCUCAGUUCAGUGGUUUGCUGCUAGCAUUGACCUCUGUAUUGGACAUGCUCUGGAUGUGUCUCUCAGGAGAGAUCUAUAUCUGGUCCCUUUCAGUAUGCAUUUUCUAG